rnacentral:rRNA from 1 species
UGGCGGACGGGGUGAGUAAUGUCUGGGAAACUGCCUGAUGGAGGGGGAUAACUACUGGAAACGGUAGCUAAUACCGCAUAACGUCGCAAGACCAAAGAGGGGGACCUUAGGGCCUCUCGCCAUCGGAUGUGCCCAGAUGGGAUUAGCUUGUUGGUGGGGUAACGGCUCACCAAGGCGACGAUCCCUAGCUGGUCUGAGAGGAUGACCAGCCACACUGGAACUGGGACACGGUCCAG